rnacentral:rRNA from 1 species
GACAGAGGUCCCGAGCGUUAGGCGGAAUCACUGGGCUUAAAGCGUGUGUAGGCGGAUCGUUAAGUGCCUUGUGAAAUCCCACGGCUUAACCGUGGAACUGCUUGGCAUACUGGCGGUCUUGAGCCACUUAGGGGCUACCGGAACAAAUGGUGGAGCGGUGAAAUGCGUAGAUAUCGUAAGGAAGACCAGUGGCGAAGGCGGGUCUCUGGACAGUUCCUGACGCUGAGGCACGAAGGCCAGGGGAGCAAACGGG